AUUGAACGCUGGCGGAAUGCUUUACACAUGCAAGUCGAACGGCAGCACGGGGGCAGCCUUGGUGGCGAGUGGCGAACGGGUGAGUAAUACAUCGGAACGUGCCCGGCCGUGGGGGAUAACGUAGCGAAAGUUACGCUAAUACCGCAUACGAUCUGAGGAUGAAAGCGGGGGACCUUCGUCCCUCGCGCGAUCGGAGCGGCCGAUGUCAGAUUAGGUAGUUGGUGGGGUAAAGGCCUACCAAGCCGACGAUCUGUAGCUGGUCUGAGAGGACGAGCAGCCACACUGGAACUGAGACACGGCCCAGACUCCUACGGGAGGCAGCAGUGGGGAAUUUUGGACAAUGGGCGCAAGCCUGAUCCAGCCAUUCCGCGUGCAGGACGAAGGCCUUCGGGUUGUAAACUGCUUUUGUACGGAACGAAAAGGCUCUGGCUAAUACCUGGGGCUCAUGACGGUACCGUAAGAAUAAGCACCGGCUAACUACGUG
rnacentral:rRNA from 1 species